rnacentral:rRNA from 1 species
GAUGAACGCUAGCUACAGGCUUAACACAUGCAAGUCGAGGGGAAACGGCAUUAAGUGCUUGCACUUUUUGGACGUCGACCGGCGCACGGGGGAGUAACGCGUAUCCAACCUGCCCCUUACCAGGGAAUAACCCGUUGAAAGACGGACUAAUGCCCUAUGCAGUCCUUUGACGGCAUCAGAUUAGGACUAAAGAUUCAUCGGUAUGGGAUGGGGAUGCGUCUGAUUAGCUUGUUGGCGGGGUAACGGCCCACCAAGGCAUCGAUCAGUAGGGGUUCUGAGAGGAAGGUCCCCCACAUAGGAACUGCGACACGGUCCUAACUCCUACGGGAGGCAGCAGUGAGGAAUAUUGGUCAAUGGGCGGUAGCCUGAACCAGCCAAGUAGCGUGCAGGAUGACGGCCCUAUGGGUUGUAAACUGCUUUUAUGCGGGGAUAAAGUCAACCACGUGUGGGUGUUUGCAGGUACCGGAUGAAUAAGGCCCGGCUAAUUCCGUG